rnacentral:rRNA from 1 species
UAACACGUGGGCAACCUGCCUGUAAGACUGGGAUAACUUCGGGAAACCGGAGCUAAUACCGGAUAAUGCUUUUGGACUCAUGUCCUUAAGCUGAAAGAUGGUUUCGGCUAUCACUUACAGAUGGGCCCGCGGCGCAUUAGCUAGUUGGUGAGGUAACGGCUCACCAAGAACGAUGCGUAGCCGACCUGAGAGGGUGAUCGGCCACACUGGGACUGAGACACGGCCCAGACUCCUACGGGAGGCAGCAGUAGGGAAUCUUCCGCAAU